AGAGUUUGAUCAUGGCUCAGAUUGAACGCUGGCGGCAUGCCUUACACAUGCAAGUCGAACGGCAGCACGGGAGCUUGCUCCUGGUGGCGAGUGGCGAACGGGUGAGUAAUGCAUCGGAACGUGCCCUGAAGUGGGGGAUAACGCAGCGAAAGUUGCGCUAAUACCGCAUAUUCUGUGAGCAGGAAAGCAGGGGAUCGCAAGACCUUGCGCUUUAGGAGCGGCCGAUGUCGGAUUAGCUAGUUGGUGGGGUAAAGGCUCACCAAGGCGACGAUCCGUAGCGGGUCUGAGAGGAUGAUCCGCCACACUGGGACUGAGACACGGCCCAGACUCCUACGGGAGGCAGCAGUGGGGAAUUUUGGACAAUGGGCGCAAGCCUGAUCCAGCCAUGCCGCGUGAGUGAAGAAGGCCUUCGGGUUGUAAAGCUCUUUCGGCGGGGAAGAAAUCGCAUUCUCUAAUACAGGAUGUGGAUGACGGUACCCGAAUAAGAAGCACCGGCUAACUACGUGCCAGCAGCCGCGGUAAUACGUAGGGUGCGAGCGUUAAUCGGAAUUACUGGGCGUAAAGCGUGCGCAGGCGGUUUCGUAAGACAGACGUGAAAUCCCCGGGCUCAACCUGGGAACUGCGUUUGUGACUGCGAGGCUAGAGUUUGGCAGAGGGGGGUGGAAUUCCACGUGUAGCAGUGAAAUGCGUAGAGAUGUGGAGGAACACCGAUGGCGAAGGCAGCCCCCUGGGCCAAUACUGACGCUCAUGCACGAAAGCGUGGGGACAAACAGGAUUAGAUACCCUGGUAGUCCACGCCCUAAACGAUGUCAACUAGGUGUUGGGAGGGUAAACCUCUUAGUGCCGUAGCUAACGCGUGAAGUUGACCGCCUGGGGAGUACGGCCGCAAGGCUAAAACUCAAAGGAAUUGACGG
rnacentral:rRNA from 1 species